GAUGAACGCUGGCGGCGUGCUUAACACAUGCAAGUCGAACGGAAAGGCUCCUGCUUGCAGGGGUACUCGAGUGGCGAACGGGUGAGUAACACGUGGGUGAUCUGCCCAGCACUUCGGGAUAAGCCUGGGAAACUGGGUCUAAUACCGGAUAGGACGAUGGUUUGGGUGCCAUUGUGGAAAGUUUUUUCGGUGUGGGAUGAGCUCGCGGCCUAUCAGCUUGUUGGUGGGGUAAUGGCCUACCAAGGCGUCGACGGGUAGCCGGCCUGAGAGGGUGUACGGCCACAUUGGGACUGAGAUACGGCCCAGACUCCUACGGGAGGCAGCAGUGGGGAAUAUUGCACAAUGGGCGCAAGCCUGAUGCAGCGACGCCGCGUGGGGGAUGACGGCCUUCGGGUUGUAAACUCCUUUCGCUAGGGACGAAGCGCAAGUGACGGUACCUGGAGAAGAAGCACCGGCUAACUACGUG
rnacentral:rRNA from 1 species